GCCAGCGGUUCUACGACGCGGAAACGAUCCGCGCCUCGCUCCAGAUGGCGUCCGCCGUAAAGCUGAACGACGAGGAACUGCCGAUCGUCGGCGAACUUUGCGGUCUGCGUGCCAUGACGCCACGGGAAAUGUUGAUUGAACUCGCGACCCAAUUCGAUUUGCGUCUCGCCGCCCUGACCCGCGGCGCGCUGGGCUCGCUGCUCAUCACCGGGGCGGCGGAAGAUGACUGCCCCGCGUCGCCCACGAACCUCGUGGACACCGUGGGCGCCGGCGACGCCUUCACCGCCACGCUGGUCAUCGGCUUUCUCAAAGGACUCUCACUUGACGCCAUCAACCGCCACGCCAACGCGGUCGCCUCCUACGUCUGCUCGCAGAAGGGGGCGACACCGGUCCUGCCGACCGGGUUACGAGAGGCGCUCUCUGAUCGUUCAUCCGCUGCCAACCCGGUUUCACCCACUCCACACGAAUGAAGAUGAAGAUGCUGAAUUUGUCGUUGCGCUGCGGCGCAGGGCUCACGCUGCUCCUCUGCGCCACCGCUGCUCACUCCGCCGCCACCUACCGCGAGCCGUGGCGGCCGCAGUUCCACUUCACCCCGGCGACCAACUGGAUGAACGAUCCAAACGGGAUGGUCUUCUACGAGGGUGAAUAUCACCUCUUCUACCAAUACAAUCCCUGGGGCGACAAAUGGGGUCACAUGAGUUGGGGCCACGCCGUCAGCCGCGACGUCGUUCACUGGGAGCACCUGCCGGUCGCGCUCUACGAGGAGAACGAUGUGAUGAUUUUUUCCGGCAGCGCAGUGAUGGAUUGGAAGAACACCAGCGGAUUCGGGCGCGACGGCCAGCCGCCAAUGGUCGCCAUCUACACCGGGCACUACACGAAGAAGCCGCUCCAAAACCAGCAUAUCGCCUACAGCAACGACCGCGGGCGCACCUGGA
rnacentral:misc_RNA from 1 species